rnacentral:rRNA from 1 species
GAUGAACGCUAGCGGGAGGCUUAACACAUGCAAGUCGUGGGGCAGCAUUAGGUAGCAAUACUUAGAUGGCGACCGGCGCACGGGUGAGUAACGCGUAUGCAACCUACCCAGUACAGGGGGAUAGCCCGGAGAAAUUCGGAUUAAUACCCCAUAAUGAUAUUAAGAGGCAUCUUUUAAUAUUUAAAGCUUCGGCGGUACUGGAUGGGCAUGCGUAAGAUUAGCUAGUUGGUAGGGUAACGGCCUACCAAGGCUCCGAUCUUUAGGGGUCCUGAGAGGGUGAUCCCCCACACUGGUACUGAGACACGGACCAGACUCCUACGGGAGGCAGCAGUGAGGAAUAUUGGUCAAUGGGCGCAAGCCUGAACCAGCCAUCCCGCGUGAAGGAAGAAGGCGCUAUGCGUUGUAAACUUCUUUUCCGGGGGAAGAAAACCCGCUACGAGUAGCGGCUUGCCGGUACCCUGGGAAUAAGCAUCGGCUAACUCCGUGCCAGCCGCCGCAGUAAUAC